rnacentral:rRNA from 1 species
AGUGAACGCUGGCGGUAGGCCUAACACAUGCAAGUCGAACGGCAGCACAGUAAGAGCUUGCUCUUACGGGUGGCGAGUGGCGGACGGGAGAGGAAUAUAUCGGAAUCUACUUUUUCGUGGGGGUUAACGUAGGGAAACUUACGCUAAUACCGCAUACGACGUACGGGUGAAAGGAGGGGAUCGUCUGAGCUGGCGCGAUUGAAUGAGCCGAUGAGGGAUUAGCUAGUGGGGGGGGUAAAGGCCCACCAAGUCGACGAUCCGCAGCUGGAGUGAGAGGAUGGUCGGCCGCCUUGGAGCUGGGCCAGGGUCCAGACUCCUACGGGAGGGCGCAGUGGGGAACAUUAGACAAUGGGCGCAAACCUGAUCCAGCCAUCGCGAGUGGGAGAAGACGGCCUUGGGGUUGUAAAGCCCUCUUGUUGGGAAAGAACAGCAGCAGGUUAAUACCCCGCUGUACUGACGGUAACCAAAGAAUAAGCACCGGCUAACUUCGUG